rnacentral:miRNA from 1 species
UGAUUGUCCAUACGCAGUUCUCA